GCGCCUGUAGCUCAAUGGUUAGGACGUCAGAUUCUCAGUCUGUAAAGAGGGGUUCGACUCCCCUAGGACGUACCA
rnacentral:tRNA from 1 species